UACGUAGGGGGCUAGCGUUGUCCGGAAUCAUUGGGCGUAAAGAGCGCGUAGGCGGCCAGAUAAGUCCGGUGUGAAAGUCAAAGGCUCAACCUUUGAAUGCCGCUGGAAACUGUCUGGCUAGAGUCCGGGAGGGGCGAGUGGAAUUCCUGGUGUAGCGGUGAAAUGCGCAGAUAUCAGGAAGAACACCCGUGGCGAAGGCGGCUCUCUGGGACGGUACUGACGCUGAGACGCGAAAGCGUGGGGAGCGAACAGG
rnacentral:rRNA from 1 species